rnacentral:rRNA from 2 species
GGAAGUAAAAGUCGUAACAAGGUUUCCGUAGGUGAACCUGCGGAAGGAUCAUUACCUAGAGUUUGUAGACUUCGGUCUGCUACCUCUUACCCAUGUCUUUUGAGUACCUUCGUUUCCUCGGCGGGUCCGCCCGCCGAUUGGACAACAUUCAAACCCUUUGCAGUUGCAAUCAGCGUCUGAAAAAACAUAAUAGUUACAACUUUCAACAACGGAUCUCUUGGUUCUGGCAUCGAUGAAGAACGCAGCGAAAUGCGAUAAGUAGUGUGAAUUGCAGAAUUCAGUGAAUCAUCGAAUCUUUGAACGCACAUUGCGCCCCUUGGUAUUCCAUGGGGCAUGCCUGUUCGAGCGUCAUUUGUACCUUCAAGCUCUGCUUGGUGUUGGGUGUUUUGUCUCGCCUCUGCGUGUAGACUCGCCUUAAAACAAUUGGCAGCCGGCGUAUUGAUUUCGGAGCGCAGUACAUCUCGCGCUUUGCACUCAUAACGGCGACGUCCAAAAGUACAUUUUUACACUCUUGACCUCGGAUCAGGUAGGGAUACCCGCUGAACUUAAGCAUAUCAAUAAGCGGAGGA